UCCAUCUAAAUGAUUCUUCCAUAUACGGCUGAUAUUCAUACUGAACAUGUUUUGAUGUAAUGUUUCUUUACUUUCAGCAUUUAGCUUCGAGCAUGUGAUACGUGACUGGAUGGAAUUCCUGGAGAACUGUAUUAACAUGUUCCAAAGAGCUGAAUCCUGAGAAACCAUGGGGAAGAAAGCAGACAGGAGUACUCAUGAGGACAUUGAUGCAGAAACCCAGGUGUAAAGUCAAAUAUGCUGAAUGGCUCUCCAUCAACAAAUUAAAGAGGCAAAUAUAAAAUCCAGAUUUUUCAGAUUCUGAAAGCACAAGAAAGUUACCUGGAUCAGAGAAAACAGAUCCAGUUUUAUGGAGAGAAAAGGUAACUGUGAAAUGGUCUUCAUAUUCCCCAUGAAGAAUAUACAGGUAUGUGGUAAAGAAGAGAUAAGAAUUUCCUGAGAUUUCAUUUGUAUGUAAGGUAGUUGUUUUAGCAAAGUAGCAUAGGAGAAGAUUAAUAUGAAUCAAUGAAGUGUUUCACUGAUGGAUUUUUUAAGUGAUUGAAAUAUUAGUGUUUUCCAUUUCAGAGAAUUGAACUCUUAAAUAUGCUAUUGGCAGAAGGAGACAAGUUUUAAUUAUUGGGUAAGGAUUAUUUUAA
rnacentral:lncRNA from 1 species